UGUCUCAUGAAUAAUAUGAGAUAACUCCUGCCCAGUGACAACUUGUUCAACGGCCGCGGUAUCCUAACCGUGCAAAGGUAGCAUAAUCACUUGCCUAUUAAUUGUAGGCUAGAAUGAAAGGGUAAACGAAAUAAAAACUGUCUCAGUUAGUCACAUAAAAAUUAUUUUCUAUCCGAAGAAAGAUAGAUACCCUCGAAGGACAAGAAGACCCUAUAGAGCUUUAUAUUACUUAUAGAACUACACUAUAAAAAUAUUCGGUUGGGGCGACCCAGGGCUAAAUAAUCACCCACUAUAAAAAAGAUUCAUAAAUCUAAUAAAUGACCCUUUAAAGAUCAAAAAAACAAGCUACCUUAGGGAUAACAGGCUAAUUCCAUUCAAGAGUUCUUAUCAACAAUGGAGUUUGGCACCUCGAUGUUGGCUUAGGGUAUCUAUAUAGCGCAAAAGUUAUAUAAAGAUGGUUUGUUCAACCAAUAACUCCCU
rnacentral:rRNA from 1 species